rnacentral:rRNA from 1 species
CCUACGGGUGGCAGCAGUAGGGAAUCUUUCACAAUGGGCGAAAGCCUGAUGGAGCAACGCCGCGUGCAGGAUGAAGGCCUUCGGGUUGUAAACUGCUUUUAUAAGCGAGAAAUAUGAUGGUAACUUAUGAAUAAGGCUCGGCUAAAUACGUGACAGCAGCCGCGGUCAUACGUAGGAUCCGAGCAUUAUCCGGAGUGACUGGGGGUUAAGCGUUGCGUAGGUGGCAUAAUAAGUAGCUAGUGAAAUCGUGUGGCUAAACCAGUCAGACUAUUGGCUAAACUGUUAAGCUCGAGACCGUUAGGGGUAACUGGAAUUUCUAGUGUAGGGGUGAAAUCCUUAGAUAUUAGGAAGAACUCCGAUAGCGUAGGCAGGUUGCUGGGACGGUUCUGACGCUAAUGCACGAAAGUGUAGGGAGCAAACGGGAUUAGAUACCCGAGUAGUC